UCAAACCCUAACCCUAACCCUCACAUUUUUUUCCAGCUGCCCCAUACACACACUCAGCCCCUCACCAUACAUACACAUGCGAAAAAAAGAAAAGAAAAGAGAGAAGGGGAGCUCGAGAGGGGAAGAAGGAGAAGGAAGGAGAAGGGAAAAAGGGGAGACGGCAUCGGUGGGUCUCACUGCCACCGUCGCUGUCGGCAGAGUCAUAACGUGAGGAGAGAGAGACGAGCUCGUGAGGGAGAGAGGAAGUAGUGUCGUUGACAUUGGAGGGGAGCCUGGCUGCCCUCGUCACUGCCAGCUCUGUCGCCGUCGUCAACAUCGAAGUUGUGCGAAGCCGUCGUUACUGUCAUCACCAUCGAUGCUUCUCCUCGUCGUUUGUGGGUGUCACCUCUUCUGUUUCUGCUGUCACGCCGUCGUCUGCCCCUCUGGAUGUUGCUACUUUUGAAUCACGCCGUGUCACUAGUUCUCUGCCUCAUCGUUGUGGCCCAACCUCUAAUUAGAUGAGGCUUGAGUGAAGGAAUUUGACCUCAGGCAAAUGUGGAAGAGUCCAAAUGGGACAAUUAGGAACAUUUUGAAUGGUUGGACAAAGCCAAUAUGCAUCGGAAGACAUGCAUUUCGUGAUCAAUAUAGGGCCACUGGCAGUUAUUAAAGGAGCUUGGAAAUUAAAGCUGGUGUUCGGUAUUGCUUCUUACUUUGUUUUAGACAACUUUGUCGUUGAUUUGGUCGUCGAUUUUAACAGUAUUUCUUGUAGUGAUGUAAAAUUACUUAUGAUUUUAAUACAUAUUCACAGAUGAUUGAUA